UAUUAUUUAGUAAAUUGUCACUGGUUUCCAUUAGUAGAAGAUAUCAGUUACCAUUUUCCAGCAAACCAUGUUGUUAUCUUAUUUUUGUUGUAUGAAUUCUUGAUAUCUAAGCUACAGAAUUAUUAAAACCAUACCUAACAAAUCAAUAUAGAUGGGUCCUACUAUACCUUUUUAUGUAUGUGGAGAGCAGCUUUCUUCUAAAGGUUAAAUCCUUUGUCUGACAUUUCCAUUUGCCUUAUUGUGCAGGCCAAAUAAAGGAGGUACUUCUAAGUUAGAGUGAAAGAUCAGUUGAUUAAUUGAAUUAAGAAGAAAGGGUUCUAGGUUCUGGACUGUAUUGUGGUCACUGAGUUUGCAAAAUCUCCUACUCCUUGCUGCAAGGAGCGUAAACUUCACCAAGAGUGCUACAACAUAGAACGCCAAAUUUGAGCUGUGCACGGGCUUUAGUAUCAUCCAUGUUAUGGUCAGCCUAGCAGUCAAUUUGGUCAAUUUCCGUGCCUCCAACAUGGAGCAUACAUUCUUCCAACAUGGAUGAUACAGAUCUUAUGGUCAGCCUAGCAGUCAAUUUGGUAAAUUUGAGUGCCUCCAACAUGGAGCAUGAGGACUUCCUCAAGGCUGGCUUUUGGGAAUCGAUUAAAUCAAGGGAGACGGAUUGGAGGGUGAUGAGCUAAGAAGGAAUUCUUAUGUCAUCAAGAUCCUAAAGAAGACAAGUUUCCAUGGCUCUAGCGCGUUGAAAAACCCAGAAACAACCCUGGAGCAUGAGUAAGAGUCUUGCUCAUCAACUAUUGAUUAAAGACUUAUUACAGCUUGAGCAUAUGCAAAAAAAGACGCAUGUUGAAGCUCUCAAAACCACUUUGGAAGGCUCCCUCCUAAUAUCAGAGAUGAACAAGGCAAGGU